rnacentral:rRNA from 1 species
AAAAACAUUUCUGUUAAAGUUUAGCAGUAGGGCCUGCUCACUGUCAUUUGAUAAAGAGCUGCAGUAUUUUGACUGUGCAAAGGUAGCAUAAUGGUUUGCCUUUUAAUUGGAGGCUGGAAUGAAAGGUUUGACAAAACUUUGGUUUUUCCUUGUAAAUGCUAAAAGUUAAACUUUUUGUUAAAAUGCAAAAAUUCUAGUAAGGGACGAUAAGACCCUAUAAACUUUUACAUGUUAUAUUUUAAAGAAAUUAUGAUUAAAGUGUUUAGUUGGGGCAACGUAAAUAAAAUAAUUUAUAAUUAAACUUUAUAAGAGGGGACCAAAGCCUUAUGAGGCAAAAGAAAAAAGUACUUUAGGGAUAACAGCGUUAUACCUUCGGAGAGACCAUAUCUAUGAGGGUGUUUGCGACCUCGAUGUUGAAUUAAAAAACAAAUUAAAGCAGCCUUUAACUCUUUUAGGUCUGUUCGACCUUUGAUUUUUUACAUGAUCUG